rnacentral:lncRNA from 1 species
GGAAGCCACAGGGGCAGCAGGAUCUGGCCGCUAGAGAAGUUGUCUAAAUGCAGGAACCCUCCACACUGGUUCUGGGAAAGAAAACUCCUCCUUCAGUGUCUCUGCAGUGCCCUCUACUGGCAGGAGGUUGAUGUCUCUCCUGCUGGCACAGGGGAACUCUUUAAAGGGCCCAGCUGCAUCUUCACAGAGCGGGCAAUGCAGGGCGAGUGAAUUACUGGCACAGUCUGCUACUUGGGCCGCACAGCGCACAUCUGCCCCCUGUUACACAUGUGCAAGCUCCCCUACCGACCAGAAAAGGGUUGUUUUUCUCUUCUUGCUCACUGUAUCCAUCACUGUCUCCACGAAUAACACCUCAUAUUCAGUCACCAUCCCGCUGACUCUGCUGCUACCCAGACUGUAAAGUUAACUUCCAUCAACUUGUACUUAAAAUAAUGGGAAGAAAGAGGAAAAGGAAGAAUGUGGCUACCGUGUCAGAGGAACACACCUGCAUUCCAAGUAAAUAGAAGAUAUGCAAAACUACUACAGCUCUCAUUUCUGUAUUUGUCCCCAAGGCCGCCAUCGGGCUUCUCUCUCCCUUUCCCCAUCCGUAAAUCCUCUGCGCAGCCAGAACUGCAGCAGGGCAGGCUUCUUUUACCUGAUGGGGAGACCCAGACCUUGGUUUCUGAGGGCUCUGCACCCUUGGUUUUCCUGCCGUUUGUUUGGUUUUGUUACAGCAGGUUUUCACCAACCCUUCCUUUUGGUCCCGGAAGCUCUAAGAGGUACCCGAGGAAUCCCCUGCGUAAUCUUCCUGGCCUCUAAGUGCCAGCAACCCAAUGUCUCCUUGGUAACUAGAAUCAAUCCCUCCAGCUCAUGGAGUAGGUCCUUUUUUUGUGUGUUGGUCAGUGGCAUGCAGGGGUCCCCCAAAGCCAGGUAGACGACGUGUCCUCCUGGGGAACCACUGUAGUGUCCCCCUUGUGGGAUUACAACCUUCAGCACCCCUGGGGGCUUUCGGAGAUAUUGGGUGGGGUGCGGACCAGCUGCUGGGAUCAGAGGAAGCGUCUAGUAAGAGGCUCUGGAGGCGCGGGGAGCCCCCCGCCUGGCACGGCGCACACCAUCCCGGGCCCCCGUAGGGCUGCUCCUGACUCCCCACGUUCAUUUGGAAACUGUGCUCCUGUGCGGAACUCUCUCGGCUCAUUUUGGCUCCGCAGAACAAUUUCGGCUCCUUACCAGCGUCUAUUUUGGGUACAACCCUUUGUUCCCCCGUCCCUGCCUUGGGGGCUGUGUCAUGGUAACCAUGAGUGUGAGCAGACGAGUCUCAUCCACCCCAUCUCUGCCAGUGUGGCCGCCACAACGGCAGCAUUUGGUGUGACUAUAAAUGCUCCUGCUGGUGAUGCCCCGGCCUCGCGGGUGGCGUGAGAGCCACAAGUCGUCUUGUUGUGACUCCAGAGCCAGACAGAUGGGCUUUGAAGUGGGGAACAGGAUGGCAGGAUCGUUGGCCUGUUGCCAGUGGCUUUUGGUAUUCUCUGGGCAGCUGGUGGUUUUGGGUGGGAAGGACGUUUCUGGAAGUCAGAGUGAUGGUGUGACGACACGCACCUCCCUCCCGCUGCGAGAGAGUGAGCAAUCAGAGAGUGGUACUGGGACCUCCCCCUCCUCCUUAUCCAGCCCGUAUUGGGGCGGGUGGGGGAAGACUUGGCAGAUAAGCAUCUCUGUCUAGGAGGCCCUUCUGUCUCCCCUCAGCUUCCUGCUGCCCCCAGCUCACCAAGCUUAUCAUCACCCAGCAGAGGAUUGGGUGGCGUGGGACACGAGAUACUCUCUGGGCUUCCGUCACCCACAGGACGUAUUUGCGCCCCCUCCUAAGCUCAAAUAGGAAAUUCAGCCACGAGGCUGUUAUCUGUGGGCCGGCGUCCCACCGCGGGCACGGAGAGCUGAUGUGGGGUCUGUGCUUCUCCUGCUCAUCCGUGACUGAGUGUUGCCUUGUUUGUAAGGACUUGGGAGAUGCAUCUGGGACUUUCUACCUGUGCCGCCCUGGAGAGAUCAUUAAACUCUCCAAGCCUCAGUUUCUCCUUUUAAAAAAUGGGAAUAAUAACAGAACCGACUUCAUAGGAUGGUUAGGAGGAUGGGAUGGGACAAUGCACGUCCCUGAGCACAGCGCCGGACCCAUGGGAAUAAAUGAAUGAAUGACUCCUGCAUUGGGCGGGGCACUGGCUGCUAAGCUUAGAAGGGUGCAUUUCCUGCUGCCACCCCUCUCUUGCCCUCACGGCAGGCAGGCCUCACCAGGAAAGGGAGACUAAGGGAGUUCCCCUUGUGGCUCAGCGGUAACCCCACUAGUUUCCAUGAGGACAUGUGUUCGAUCCCUGGCCUGGCUCAGCGGGUGGGGGAACCAGCAUUGCCAUGAGCUGUGGUGUUGGUCUUUCAGACAUUGGAUCCAGCAUUGCUGUGGCGGUGCUGUAGGCCGGCAGCUGCAACUCUGAUUCGACCCCAGCCUGGGAACCUCCAUAUGCCACUGGUGUGGCCCUAAAACACAAAUAAAAAAAGGGGGGUGGGACACGGACUGGGAACUUUGUUUUGUGCCCAAAGUGAAUAUGUUUGCAGUGGUCACAUGCUAAUUGUGCGAGGCGGUGCUGGAGCGGGAAACAGCUUCAGCAGGGGACCUUCUUGGAUUUGGAUCCAGCCUCGCCAGCUCUGUGGCUGUGGGCAGCUUUGCUCACCUCUCUGUACCUCAUUCUUCUCAUCUAGAAAAUGGGGAUAAAAAUAGUCCCCAUUGCAAAGGGGUGGAGUGAGGCAGGUGUGCGGAUGAACAGGAUGCCGACAUUGUAAAGCUCUGUGCACAGCCCCCCCCCCCCCCCCCGCUUGUAAGAACAUAAUCAGUACAAGCUCCUGUUCAAGUGAAGUACACUCUCGGGCACUCCAGGGAUUUCAAGAAAGGAGAGAAAACUGUGGGCUGGAUUAGUCAGGGACUCAUAAUUGUUGAGAGUUCAGAGUACUUUCUUUGUGUAGGCGCUCUCGGAAGCAUGUGUAACGCAUCUCAUUUUGAUUCCCACAGAAGGCCUGUGAAGUGGCUCCUGUUAUUUUCCCCAUUUUGCAGCUGAGAAAACCGAGGCCCCGUGAUGCCUCCAGUCACACGGCUGAUGCUAAUAAGGCCAGGAUUUGAACCCAGGCCACCAGGCCUCCCAGGGAAAACUUCAGGAGGUUGAGGUUACCUACGGAUUAAGACUGUCAACCGCAAGGCACAGACUCACUCGCACCAGAGUAGGGAAAGGCUCACAUUAUGGAGAGGUUCAGAGGUGCCCUCGCUCAGGUACAGCUGGAUCCAGGGACCCAGGACUUCAGUGUUUCUUCCCUUGGUCCUCAGGCAGGCUCUUCCCACCACAGCCAGCAGGUCCUGACUCACAUCCUAUCAGGUUAGCAUCUUUCCACUGGGGCAAAAUGUUCCUGGGAGGCUUCUGAUUGGCUCGCCUGGUCACGUGCUCAUUCUGCGACUUGGGUGAGGAGUGGGAUCAGUGCAAACACCGCAGAAACCCCACUGGGAAGGAGGGGAAGGCACCGAGAUAGACCCAAACCAGCAAAGUCCGCUAGGAGAAAAGUAGACUUCCGAUAGAGGGUAAAGAAGGACCUGGCGCCCAGGUGGUCACAUGUUUUUCAGCAGUUCAAAUAGAGGACCCGUGAUGGAGCCGGAGAGGCUCUUGUGGCGAACACAUUGGGAUCGUUUUGAUGGAGCAAGGAUCGGAGUUUUUGGGUAACUAUGGUUUUGUUUCUGGACGAGGAUAAUUCCACGCCAGCCCUUGUUGAGGCGAGACUGUGGGGUGACAGUCAGGUUGGUGCUGGUUGGAGCAGGCUUAGAGGUGAGACUUUGGGGGGAUUAGCUCGGGGCGGGGGGUUGCUGAUGGGGUUGGGGUUGGUGAGCAAGGUGGGAAUGGCGCCGGGGACGGGGUGGUGGCGGAGGUGGCAGUUGACACAGCGGGGACUGUCUGGCAGCCCCAGGCGAUGGUUGCAUGGUGGGUCUUGGGGCUGAGUUGGGCUCACGAGUGAGCCGGGAUUGUGGUUAGGGGUGUGGGCAGCAGAGUACAGUUUGGGAGGAAUGUCAGGGGGGGGUGUGCCAGGCUGUGCCUGGGCUGGACUGGGUGGAAAUGAUGUGUUGGGAGAAGAAUUAAGCAUUUCGUGAGGGGCAGAGUGGGGGCGCGGGGAGGGAGGUACCACUUUUAGAGCUGGUGAUGGAACUCCGUGUGGGUGUGAGGAGCCGAUGAUGGUUAUUCUGUGGGAUGUGAUGGUUUCAUAGAGUAACAGAGGUGGAAGGACUUAGCUGCACUCUUACCGAGGAGGCCAAACCCCUCCUUCAGUGGUUGCAGCUGGAAUGCAAGCCCUCAUUCCCAGACCCAUUCUCUCUUUUUAAAAAUUAUUUUUUUAGUUCUUCACAGUAGUACAUGCAUAUAAUUUAAGAUGUCAAAUGGGAUGAGCGUGUCUUCAGCAAGUGCAGUUGUUCCUUGCCUUCUCCUCGAGGCAACCCCGUUUAGCUGCUGCUUCUAGCGAUGUUUCAUCUCGUGGAUCUGAGUAAUGUGCAUAUUUUUGACUCUUCCACUUUCCAUUGAUUUCCUCUUUAGUAAAUAAGAAUUUAGCUCUCUUAAUCGGCCAACGAUGGAUUUCUAUCCAGCCAUUCUCCUAAAAUUUCUGGUGGUUGGCAUGCUAUAUUAAUGGAGUUCUCCUCCUGGCUCAGUGGUUAACAAAUCCGUACUAGGAACCCUGAGGUUCUGGGUUCGAUCCCUGGCCUUGCUCAGUGGGUUAAGGAUCUGCAGUGGCCGUGAGCUGCAAUGUAGGUCACAGACGCUGCUCGGAUCCUGCGUUGCUAUGGCUCUGGUGUAGGCCGGCAGCAAUAGCUCCGAUUAGACCCCUAGCCUGGGAACCUCCACAUGCCACAGGAGCAGCCCUAG